AAAAAGGUAAGCUAAUUUAAAGCUUUAAGGUUCAUACCCUUAAUAUAGGAAAGUUCCCUCCUUUUUA
rnacentral:tRNA from 1 species